rnacentral:rRNA from 1 species
CCCCGUGCACCUUUACUAUAGCUUUACACUGGCAUUCGUGUCGGCAUGUGUAGGAUAGGUGGUAGGCUUGGAAGCAUGGGCGCCAGCUCGUGUGGAGCCAUCCUUGAAAUACCACCCUUACCUAUAUGGAUGUCUAACCGCGGUCCGUUAUCCGGAUCCGGGACAGUGUAUGGUGGGUAGUUUGACUGGGGCGGUCGCCUCCCAAAGAGUAACGGAGGCGCGCGAUGGUGGGCUCAGACCGGUCGGAAAUCGGUCGUCGAGUGCAAUGGCAUAAGCCCGCCUGACUGCGAGACAGACACGUCGAGCAGAGACGAAAGUCGGCCAUAGUGAUCCGGUGGUCCCGCGUGGGUGGGCCAUCGCUCAACGGAUAAAAGGUACGCCGGGG